UUAAGCGACUAAGCGUACACGGUGGAUGCCCUGGCAGUCAGAGGCGAUGAAGGACGUGCUAAUCUGCGAUAAGCGUCGGUAAGGUGAUAUGAACCGUUAUAACCGGCGAUUUCCGAAUGGGGAAACCCAGUGUGAUUCGUCACACUAUCAUUAACUGAAUCCAUAGGUUAAUGAGGCGAACCGGGGGAACUGAAACAUCUAAGUACCCCGAGGAAAAGAAAUCAACCGAGAUUCCCCCAGUAGCGGCGAGCGAACGGGGAGCAGCCCAGAGCCUGAAUCAGUGUGUGUGUUAGUGGAAGCGUCUGGAAAGGCGUGCGAUACAGGGUGACAGCCCCGUACACAAAAAUGCACAUACUGUGAGCUCGAUGAGUAGGGCGGGACACGUGGUAUCCUGUCUGAAUAUGGGGGGACCAUCCUCCAAGGCUAAAUACUCCUGACUGACCGAUAGUGAACCAGUACCGUGAGGGAAAGGCGAAAAGAACCCCGGCGAGGGGAGUGAAAAAGAACCUGAAACCGUGUACGUACAAGCAGUGGGAGCACGCUUAGGCGUGUGACUGCGUACCUUUUGUAUAAUGGGUCAGCGACUUAUAUUCUGUAGCAAGGUUAACCGAAUAGGGGAGCCGAAGGGAAACCGAGUCUUAACUGGGCGUUAAGUUGCAGGGUAUAGACCCGAAACCCGGUGAUCUAGCCAUGGGCAGGUUGAAGGUUGGGUAACACUAACUGGAGGACCGAACCGACUAAUGUUGAAAAAUUAGCGGAUGACUUGUGGCUGGGGGUGAAAGGCCAAUCAAACCGGGAGAUAGCUGGUUCUCCCCGAAAGCUAUUUAGGUAGCGCCUCGUGAAUUCAUCUCCGGGGGUAGAGCACUGUUUCGGCAAGGGGGUCAUCCCGACUUACCAACCCGAUGCAAACUGCGAAUACCGGAGAAUGUUAUCACGGGAGACACACGGCGGGUGCUAACGUCCGUCGUGAAGAGGGAAACAACCCAGACCGCCAGCUAAGGUCCCAAAGUCAUGGUUAAGUGGGAAACGAUGUGGGAAGGCCCAGACAGCCAGGAUGUUGGCUUAGAAGCAGCCAUCAUUUAAAGAAAGCGUAAUAGCUCACUGGUCGAGUCGGCCUGCGCGGAAGAUGUAACGGGGCUAAACCAUGCACCGAAGCUGCGGCAGCGACGCUUAUGCGUUGUUGGGUAGGGGAGCGUUCUGUAAGCCUGUGAAGGUGUGCUGUGAGGUAUGCUGGAGGUAUCAGAAGUGCGAAUGCUGACAUAAGUAACGAUAAAGCGGGUGAAAAGCCCGCUCGCCGGAAGACCAAGGGUUCCUGUCCAACGUUAAUCGGGGCAGGGUGAGUCGACCCCUAAGGCGAGGCCGAAAGGCGUAGUCGAUGGGAAACAGGUUAAUAUUCCUGUACUUGGUGUUACUGCGAAGGGGGGACGGAGAAGGCUAUGUUGGCCGGGCGACGGUUGUCCCGGUUUAAGCGUGUAGGCUGGUUUUCCAGGCAAAUCCGGAAAAUCAAGGCCGAGGCGUGAUGACGAGGCACUACGGUGCUGAAGCAACAAAUGCCCUGCUUCCAGGAAAAGCCUCUAAGCAUCAGGUAACAUCAAAUCGUACCCCAAACCGACACAGGUGGUCAGGUAGAGAAUACCAAGGCGCUUGAGAGAACUCGGGUGAAGGAACUAGGCAAAAUGGUGCCGUAACUUCGGGAGAAGGCACGCUGAUACGUAGGUGAAGCGACUUGCUCGUGGAGCUGAAAUCAGUCGAAGAUACCAGCUGGCUGCAACUGUUUAUUAAAAACACAGCACUGUGCAAACACGAAAGUGGACGUAUACGGUGUGACGCCUGCCCGGUGCCGGAAGGUUAAUUGAUGGGGUUAGCGCAAGCGAAGCUCUUGAUCGAAGCCCCGGUAAACGGCGGCCGUAACUAUAACGGUCCUAAGGUAGCGAAAUUCCUUGUCGGGUAAGUUCCGACCUGCACGAAUGGCGUAAUGAUGGCCAGGCUGUCUCCACCCGAGACUCAGUGAAAUUGAACUCGCUGUGAAGAUGCAGUGUACCCGCGGCAAGACGGAAAGACCCCGUGAACCUUUACUAUAGCUUGACACUGAACAUUGAGCCUUGAUGUGUAGGAUAGGUGGGAGGCUUUGAAGUGUGGACGCCAGUCUGCAUGGAGCCGACCUUGAAAUACCACCCUUUAAUGUUUGAUGUUCUAACGUGGACCCGUAAUCCGGGUUGCGGACAGUGUCUGGUGGGUAGUUUGACUGGGGCGGUCUCCUCCUAAAGAGUAACGGAGGAGCACGAAGGUUGGCUAAUCCUGGUCGGACAUCAGGAGGUUAGUGCAAUGGCAUAAGCCAGCUUGACUGCGAGCGUGACGGCGCGAGCAGGUGCGAAAGCAGGUCAUAGUGAUCCGGUGGUUCUGAAUGGAAGGGCCAUCGCUCAACGGAUAAAAGGUACUCCGGGGAUAACAGGCUGAUACCGCCCAAGAGUUCAUAUCGACGGCGGUGUUUGGCACCUCGAUGUCGGCUCAUCACAUCCUGGGGCUGAAGUAGGUCCCAAGGGUAUGGCUGUUCGCCAUUUAAAGUGGUACGCGAGCUGGGUUUAGAACGUCGUGAGACAGUUCGGUCCCUAUCUGCCGUGGGCGCUGGAGAACUGAGGGGGGCUGCUCCUAGUACGAGAGGACCGGAGUGGACGCAUCACUGGUGUUCGGGUUGUCAUGCCAAUGGCACUGCCCGGUAGCUAAAUGCGGAAGAGAUAAGUGCUGAAAGCAUCUAAGCACGAAACUUGCCCCGAGAUGAGUUCUCCCUGACCCUUUAAGGGUCCUGAAGGAACGUUGAAGACGACGACGUUGAUAGGCCGGGUGUGUAAGCGCAGCGAUGCGUUGAGCUAACCGGUACUAAUGAACCGUGAGGCUUAACCUU
rnacentral:rRNA from 1 species